AUUUAUUUAAAUUAUUCGUACGUCUCUGUUUAAAAAUGAUUGGUCGCGCUUGAAAUUCUGCCUUGACAACAGCGCCGAUUGGCCAAUAUAACACAAGGCGGGAAUUGUUUGUCGAAUUUGCUGAAGACGCAGCACUGACUGCGGUUCACAAUCAUUUGCAGGAACACCUGAAAGAAGAAAUAAAUAAUACAGUUUAAAGUUAAAUAGCGGGCCAGCUGCACAAGCAGCCAGACAGGCGUUAAAGCAGGCGGGAAGAGAGUCGUCGUGAAAGACCCAGAGUACGCUGGGACAGUAACAUUAGCAGGCAGGUGGUUAUGAAGCAGACGAGGAGGGGGAAGAGUCGAGGCCACAGGAGUAACGUUACGCUGGUCUACGUGGAGUUUAAUAGGAUUGCUGGUAAGAUCUUGAAAAGGGAAUUUUACGAGACCCUUGACCAACAUAGUACAUGGCUCUUGGACAUUUUCAGAGCCAGAACGGGAGUUGCUGGUCAGCUCUUGAUGAACCUUCUGAAGCAACAAAGCUAUCAGAGCCAACUGAAACUGAACUUUGGUGCUUCAAGGACUACCCCUUUGGUUUGGAGAUGACUCCUGCUUUCUUUAAGAUGUGUUUGAUGUCCGAUGAUCACCGCUCAAUUCUUUAUGUGCCAGUGGGGAUUUUGAUAGUUGAAGAUGGGACAAGAUGGGUCUCCCUCUUCGAUUGGAAUCGUAAUCGAGGGAAAAUUAGUGAUGGACAAUCUACAUGACCUUCCUGAAGAAGCAAUGUGCCUUAUGUUCGGACUUCUAUAUGCAUUGCACCUGAGUUACCCAAAGUCACUGGGAUACAUGUUUGACUUCAUUCAGUGGAUUCUACUUUCCUUGGGGCAGAAAGACCUGCAGCCUAAAACACAAUCGUUGGCAAACCAGCUGUUUGGCUAAAAUCGAGAAAUUGCUUGGCGCACUUUUAAUUGCAACACAUUUACAUUAAACAUGGUCUUUUGAAAAUGAGACUUAAAAAUA